rnacentral:lncRNA from 1 species
UGACUCAUUCGUUUCAAAUGAAAAUUGAAAUGCUUUUGACUUCUUCUUUUUCUUCUUUUUUUUUUUUUUUCAUCCUUCCAGUGGCAAAUUUGCUUUACUUAACGCUAAGUGGGGAUCAUUUCUUGUGAUUACUGAAAAAUGCAUCAUAACUUUUGAUUACGCUGCUAUUAAGGAUGCAGAAUGGCAAUUGCUGCUGCUCGCAGAGAGCGAGAGAGAGGAAACGCUGCUGGAAAAGCUGGUGUAACCCUUUGCUAUGCUGAGUGCAGUGGAGAAGAUGUCACCGCUGUAGGUCUGGGGCCACCGGCUGAUGGGGCAGGACCUAGGGGUUAAAUUCAGGCUGCCUGCAAGCAAGCAUGAGUGCUGCUGAUCCCAGAGGGCUGAGGGCCACGGUGUCUGCAUGGUGCACGCAGAUGGUUGUCAGUGCUCGUUCAGAGGUUCCCCAGCCUCACCCGGCAUGGCCCUGCAAGGGGAUGCUGCUGGACUCAUCCUGCCACGUGGGACUGGCUCCUCACAGCCCAGCAGAGCAGCUCCUUGGUGAGAACUAGCAGAAUGCAGUAAUUAAUCUGAGACAAAAAAAGAAGGCCACUUAAUAGGCCCUACCUCGACGUGUCUCAUUUGUUUUCUGUGGGGCUGGGCAGUGACACCCAAGUGAAACGGAUGGGGAAAUGCAGCAGGUAAGGGAUGGUGUUAGAGCUGGGUGAAUCGUGGUGCUGUGGGAAUCAUGGGUCAGGUCUGUGUCUCAGCUGUGCGUAUGAGGAGCACCAGACAGCAGGAUUUUCUAGGACGAACUGAAGUGAUGCAAGGUAAUGUCCUUGUUUUGAGCUCUCUCCAUCAGGAGGUGCAGCUUACCUGAGCAAGGUGGUUACAGUGGCUCCCCUGUAUCUUGCAGGUGAACAUGUUUUUUUUUUUAUAGCCUGUCUUGGUUUGCUUGCCACACAAAGGCACUGUUUAAUUGCUAAGGUUGCACGUUCUCCUCGGUGGAGCUGUGGGAUUUGCCCUCUGGCUUAUUUGUCCAACAGGAGGCAGAGUUUUAGCACAGAACUACUGGUGGGAGGCUGGGAUUUCUGAAAGUGUGCUUUCUGCCUUGGCU